AGUGAACGCUGGCGGUAGGCCUAACACAUGCAAGUCGAACGGCAGCACAGUAAUAGCUUGCUCUUACGGGUGGCGAGUGGCGGACGGGUGAGGAAUACAUCGGAAUCUACUUUUUCGUGGGGGAUAACGUAGGGAAACUUACGCUAAUACCGCAUACGACCUACGGGUGAAAGCAGGGGAUCUUCGGACCUUUCGCGAUUGAAUGAGCCGAUGUCGGAUUAGCUAGUUGGCGGGGUAAAGGCCCACCAAGGCGACGAUCCGUAGCUGGUCUGAGAGGAUGAUCAGCCACACUGGAACUGAGACACGGUCCAGACUCCUACGGGAGGGAGCAGUGGGGAAUAUUGGACAAUGGGCGCAAGCCUGAUCCAGCCAUACCGCGUGUGUGAAGACGGCCUUCGGGUUGUAAAGCCCUUUUGUUGGGAAAGAAAAGCAGCAGGUUAAUACCCAGCUGUUCUGACGGUACCCAAAGAAUAAGCACCGGCUAACUUCGUG
rnacentral:rRNA from 1 species